rnacentral:rRNA from 1 species
UCUACGGGUGGCAGCAGUGGGGAAUAUUUGGCAAUGGGCGCAAGCCUGACCCAGCAAUGCCGCGUGAAGGAAGAAGGCUUUCGGGUUGUAAACUUCUUUGACAGGGAAAGAGCAUAAGACGGUACCCUGAAAACAAGCCACGGCUAACUACGUGCCAGCAGCCGCGGUAAUACGUAGGUCGCAAGCGUUGUCCGGAUAUACUGGGUGUAAAGGUCGUGUAGACGGGAAGUCAAGUCAGAUGUGAAAUCUGGAGGCUCAACCUCCAAAUUGCAUUUGAAACUGUUUUUCUUGAGUACUGGAGAGGCAGACGGAAUUCCUUGUGUAGCGGUGAAAUGCGUAGAUAUAAGGAGGAACACCAGUGGCGAAGGCGGUCUGCUGGACAGCAACUGACGGUGAGGCGCGAAAGCGUGGGGAGCAAACAGGAUUAGAUACCCGGGUAGUC